UAGGAUAUAGAAUGAAUCAUU
rnacentral:piRNA from 1 species